rnacentral:snRNA from 1 species
ACUUUAGCGACACUAAUUAGAU